AAACACGUGCUCAAGGAAGAAGAUGACUNUCGUCACCGUUGAGCGGUAGAAGCUUGCCGCUGAGCGCUAGCAGCAAGGUCUUCAACCUAAGCUCCUUUGCUUCUCCUUGCUUGGUUAUUCAUCUAAGUGUUUGCAAAGCUUUAUUAAUGACCUACAAAACAUAGUAGAAUGUAUUUAGUUAGAGAGAAACAUGCUAAGACUUUAGAAAGAAAAGAUUAAGUUCUCAAUCAACUUCCCUUUCAUAGUCUUAGUGUAGUUGAUGCCUCUUUGGAUGGGAAGUCCCUUUAGGGGUUGCCAUCACUCCCCCU
rnacentral:lncRNA from 1 species